CCUACGGGUUGCACCAGUGGGGAAUAUUGCACAAUGGGCGCAAGCCUGAUGCAGCCAUGCCGCGUGUAUGAAGAAGGCCUUCGGGUUGUAAAGUACUUUCGGCGGGGAGGAAGGUGUUGUGGUUAAUAACCGCAGCAAUUGACGUUACCCGCAGAAGAAGCACCGGCUAACUCCGUGCCAGCAGCCGCGGUAAUACGGAGGGUGCAAGCGUUAAUCGGAAUUACUGGGCGUAAAGCGCACGCAGGCGGUCUGUCAAGUCGGAUGUGAAAUCCCCGGGCUCAACCUGGGAACUGCAUUCGAAACUGGCAGGCUAGAGUCUUGUAGAGGGGGGUAGAAUUCCAGGUGUAGCGGUGAAAUGCGUAGAGAUCUGGAGGAAUACCGGUGGCGAAGGCGGCCCCCUGGACAAAGACUGACGCUCAGGUGCGAAAGCGUGGGGAGCAAACAGGAUUAGAUACCCGGGUAGUC
rnacentral:rRNA from 1 species